GAUGAAACUUGGUCAAAAUGUUUAUCUUUUAAUUUUUGAGUCUAAGUUUGUUUCAAUGUAACAUUCAUCCAAAAACUAGGUCACCAGGUACAAUAUAUAAAAACCUUCUUUUCACUUUAGAACUCACAUUAAUAACUAAUUCUUGGUGAAACGUGGUCAUAAUGUUAAUCUUUAAUGCUUGACAUUGGAUUAACAUCAUGUGCAUUCAAAAACUAGGUCACUACAUGUAGUUCAAAUGUUCUUAAUAUCUUGUUACCACUCAAGAUAACUUUAUUGACACUCAAUCUUCAUAAAACUUUAUUUGAAUGAUUUUUGUAUUUUGUCUAGACCAAGUUUGAAAUCGGGUCACAUCUUUCCAUUAACAAGGUAAAAAAGUAAAAUCAUAGACCACUCUAGAAGCCAUAUGUAUUGACUCAAUCAUGUUCAAACUGGGUCAGAAUGUUUAUCUUUACAAUAUCAAGGCCAUUUUCGAAACUUCAAGUCUUCUACCAAAGUUUUAAGUUGAACUCAGUCUCUCUUGCAACAACAGAAGCUGAAGUUGAAGUGUGAAAGAGAGGAAGAGUUGACAUAAAAUUGCUGCUUCAGCAUUCAUUGGAACAUCAGCAGCAGCAGCAACAACAAAACUUAAAAUUCAGCAAUCAACAGUUCGAUUGACGAAGGCUUUCAAAUGUUGGAGACUACAUGAGAUUUUGACAGAUGGCGGGAAACCCUCAUCAACUGGAGAUCAGCCGGUAGAGGAAUGUCUGCGACUAAGCCGAGGGCCACUGCAUAAGGGUUAUCCAUGGCAAAACAGGUUAGACUACAUGAGAUUUUGACAGAUGGCGGGAAACCCUAAUCAACUGGAGAUCAGCCGGUAAAAAGGUGGCCUUAAAACAGGGACCGUUAAUUCGCGUCGAGUUCUUUCUUACAUGCUGGAUGACCUAUCUUUUUUAUUGUAUAAAUCCAUUUGGCUUGGCAUGCUCUUUAAGAAAAGGUAUGGGUAUGGGAAUGUCUAGGCGCAAAAGUUUGACUUUAUUUUUCGUUGAAGUUGUCAGUUUCACAUUGAAUUUGUUAAGGAAACCUUUGGUAUAUUGUGACCUUAAAAAUACUAUGGGUAAAAAUAUGGCGGCUGUUAGUGGUUUGCAUCUGACAUUAUGUUUGCUCUAUAUUUCAAAACAUUGGAUCAUCAUGAAAGUUGGUGAUAAAGUUUUUUAUCAUAAUCUCUAGUCCAAGUUUAGUUAGCAGCCAGAUUGAAUUUAGCACUUUCACCGUAUAUUUUUGUUUAAUGAAGAAAAAUUGACCAAAUUAAACUUGUCUGGCAUUGCACUCAUAAUAAAUGUAACCCAGUCUUCUAAACAGGAUUUUGUUGGCAUUCCCGUUGUUCAUUUAUUUGGAUUAUGAACUGAGUGAAAAAUUGCGCCCUGUCUAAGCAUAAAUACCAUAAUAAUUUAUGCAAUUGGCGUAAUUUUCUUGAUAAUUUACAUAUCUUUUGGAGAAAUGUUUACAUUGCAAAACUAUGUAAUGCUUUGUAUAGUGUAUGUCCUGUGUCUAACUUCAUGUCACAUGGUGAAUUACCUUAAGUAAAGGACCUUGUAGGGAUGGAUAGGAUGAUCUCCUGCUAAUGCUACUGGAGUUUCACUUUGUUGAUAUUUUAUUUCACAGGAAAACAUGUCAAUUACCAACGCAUAUUUCCCUGAAAACCUGGCCAAGCUUAUAAACAGUGCUAAUGCGCCAAACGUGACCCUUCAGAGAAAUGGGAUUCCAGGACAAAUGUCAAACCGUUACCAAUCUGGGCUCCAGCAGCAGACUCAGCCGUGAAUAUGUUUGUCUUUUGACGGAUCUUGGUCAGUGUCUAGCAGUAUCCAGGCAAACAAGCCAAGUCAGCAAAGCAGCAAUAAGAUCAGCAGCAGUCAAGUUGAGCGUCGCCCAAAACCACCCAGUGCCUUGCGAUGAAAACCUCCAACGGGACUGUGACCUUGCCCUUGUACACACCUAAUGGUCAGGUUGACGGUCACUUGGGCUUAGAUAGUCACUGCAGUAAGAAGAAACCGUGUAAGGUUUUAAAGAAAACCUGGGAAGCAGAGCAAUGAGUAUGUCCAAGGAGCAUCUGCAGUCACAGCAAGUGAACCAUGGGCAGUCAUCGUCUCCAGAUUUUGAGAUCCCCAUGCUUCAAAACCAUCAGUCUAUGAAAAUCAUGCAGAGCCAACCUUGGACGUCCAUUGACGAAAUCAAACCGGCAAAUCAGAAGGACAGCCUGUUGCUACAGUUGUUAACCCCAGUCAUACAGAAGAAGCUCAGAGAUAUAAAUGCUGUUUAAGAUGUGCUUGUUUCUGCAUACUCCAUGUCUGGUGUGAACAUGUACAAUUGAAGGUCUCUGCAUACCCCAUGUCGGGUGUGAACAUGUACAAUUGAAGGUCUCUACAUACUCCAUGUCUGGUGUGAACAUGUACGAUUGAAGGUCUCUACAUACCCCAUGUCAGGUGUGAACAUGUACAAUUGAAGGUCUCUACAUACUCCAUGUCUGGUGUGAACAUGUACGAUUGAAGGUCUCUACAUACCCCAUGUCUGGUGUGAACAUGUACAAUUGAAGGUCUCUACAUACCCCAUGUCUGGUGAGAACAUGUACAACUGAAGAUCUCUACAUACCCCAUGUCUGGUGUGAACAUGUACGAUUGAAUGUCUCCAUAUACCCCAUGUCAGGUGUGAACAUGUACAAUUGAAGGUCUCUACAUACCCCAUGUCUGGUGUGAACAUGUACAAUUGAAGGUCUCUACAUACCCCAUGUCUGAUGUGAACAUGUACAAUUGAAGGUCUCUACAUACCCCAUGUCUGAUGUGAACAUGUACAAUUGAAGGUCUCUACAUACCCCAUGUCUGAUGUGAACAUGUACAAUUGAAGGUCUCUGCAUACUCCAUGUCUGGUGUGAACAUGUACGAUUGAAGGUCUCUACAUACCCCACGUCUUGUGUGAACAUGUACAAUUGAAGGUCUCAUCUUUGAAUUUGGGACAGGUGGAAAGUUAGUGACUUGAUUCAGACAAAAAUCGCAUAAUGACAAAUCCCAACAAAAAGUGGAAAGCCAGAAAGUCUUGUGGCCAGCCAUGUUUUUAUGUGACCAUCCCAGUUGUGUUCAAGGAAAAACAAAAGUUUAUGUUUUAUUGGAACUAUUAUGUUGUCAGUCAUUUUAUGUUGAAGGCUUUUAUUAACUAUAUUUAAAUUUAUAAGAUUAAGAUUACUUGAUAAAAGCAAUAAUGUAAGAUAUUAUUUUUAAGCGCAAAAUUAGCUUUGUACUUUGUCUGUUUUGUGAAAUUUUAUUUUGGAAAUGUUAAGGAAAAUAUAAUGCUAGUAAAUAUAUGUCUAUGCAUGUUGAAUUUAUCAUUUGUCAAACUGUUUUAAUGAUGCUGGUAACUUUGACAAAAUUGAAAAAAAAUGUAUUGUUUUCAUGUAAUGACACAUGUUUUUUUUUGCUAAACCUGUACUAUAGAGGUCAUAGUUACAAGAAUUGUUCAGACAGGUGGAGAAUGUUUAUGCUAUGGCUUUGAUACUCUUCAGUGUGCCCAUUGGUGUCAGUGUUUUUAUCAAUAAUGUUGUUUAUUGUCUUACUAUUUCUUGAAAAUAUUGAUUAAUUUCAGACAAAAACAUUUAAUCUUCCUUAAAUUGUCUAUUCUGUAUUUACUACCAGUUAUUUAAUUAUUUGCUUGAACAUGAUUUAAAAAUGACUUUUUUGUGACUUAAUAUGCUUUACAUGUUUUGAAACUGAGUGUUUAAAAACGAAAAUAUGAGAUGUGGGGAUAAUGGCAAAGUUAUGAUCUGAUUAUUUUUUGUUUUUGUAAGGUUUAUUAUGCUUUAUAUGUUUGUGUAUAGACGAGAUUAACUUGGCCAAGAAAUCUUCAUCACUGUAUAUAUUGGUCAGUACAUUUGUCAUUUGUAUUUGUAUAUAGAGCGAUAGCGAAAUGGUUGUAUUUACAAUGUAAAUCAUGCGUUUAUUGUUGCCAUUUUGACUUUCGCUGUAAACAUUCAUUUGUACAAACAAUUUUCAUCAUGUACAUCUUUUAGAUGCCAGAUAAUAAAAGCAAACAUUGCUUGUGGGAAUGCUCAUUUAAAACUUUCUUAAUGAUACAGAACAACACAUUCUGAAGAGGCAAAUAUCCUUUAGGCAAAAGGAACAUCUUGUUACUAGUAUAUGUAAUGCUUUUCACUAAAUAAAGUCAAGCAACUAUUGAAAGAUUGGUUUAACUUUGUUUUGCAUUAUCUUAAGAGAAAUUAAUUUAUUCAACUUGGAAAUCAGUCAAUUGCAAAUCAAGCGAGAGUGAUGUAAUAUGCUAACACUUGUCAAUAAUUGAAUUGUCUCUCUUUGUACCCAAGAUAGAGGGACGUUAUUGCUUGAAAAAUAAAGUUGUCUCCCUUGUUAGAUAAUACUUUUGUUCAUCUCUCAACAUAACAAGUACAUUCAGACAGUUAUUAAAAAUAUGACACACUUUAUACUCGGCCAUCAGUUUUUAUUAGGAUUUUGUGGAAUAUUUACUAAACUAAUAUACGUCUAUUUAAUAAAUUAAUAGUUAUGUGUGGAAUUCUGUCUUAAAUAUGGCAUGACCUAUCUUUUGUUUCAUUAAUUCGGAUCGGAAUAAUUUUAGGAAAUGGUAUGGUUAUGAGGGUCUCUACGUGCAAAAUGUUGCUUUUUGUGUUAAAGAUAUGGCUUGUAGAUUGAAUUUGUUAUGGAAAUAUCAUAGUUUAUGUGACUUAAAGAGAUAUACAUGUUUAUGUUAGUGAUGUGUUUUUGCUGAUCCAAGUCUGUUCCUGCACACUAUUUAAAGUAGAUAACUACAAGUGAUCUCAUUUAAAUGGAAAUAGUAUUGUACUGUGGAAAAGUGUUGUGAGUUCAAAUAAAAAUAUUAUGAACCGU